AUUGAACGCUGGCGGCGGGCCUAACACAUGCAAGUCGAGCGGAUGAAGGGAGCUUGCUCCUGGAUUCAGCGGCGGACGGGUGAGUAAUGCCCAGGAAUCUGCCUGGUAGUGGGGGAUAACGUCCGGAAACGGGCGCUAAUACCGAAUACGUCCUGAGGGAGAAAGUGGGGGAUCUUCGGACCUCACGCUAUCAGAUGAGCCUAGGUCGGAUUAGCUAGUUGGUGGGGUAAAGGCCUACCAAGGCGACGAUCCGUAACUGGUCUGAGAGGAUGAUCAGUCACACUGGAACUGAGACACGGUCCAGACUCCUACGGGAGGCAGCAGUGGGGAAUAUUGGACAAUGGGCGAAAGCCUGAUCCAGCCAUGCCGCGUGUGUGAAGAAGGUCUUCGGAUUGUAAAGCACUUUAAGUUGGGAGGAAGGGCAGUAAGUUAAUACCUUGCUGUUUUGACGUUACCAACAGAAUAAGCACCGGCUAACUUCGUG
rnacentral:rRNA from 1 species